GACUACUGGGGCUCAGGAACUCUGGUCACCGUCUCCUCAGUCACUGUCAAGCCCCCGGACGUGUUCUCCAUCAUCUCAGGGUGCAAAGCCCCAAAGGAAGACAGCAUCAUGGACCUGGCAUGCUUGGUGACUGGAUAUGUCCCAGAACCGGUGAAGGUCACCUGGCACUCAGAGGCACAGGGCCAGAUCCAGAAGACCUUCCCCUCAGUAAGGAUCGGUGAAUUAUACACCUUGACCAGCCUUCUCUCCUUCCCUGCCUCGGAAUGGAAAGACAAACACCACAGAUGCAUCAUCAACCACUAUGAGACCAAUAAGAACAUAAAUGAGACUUUCCAGUUGCCAGCAUCAUGGAAUGCUCAGGCCUCCCCGGUGCCCACUGUACCACCCAGAGCAGAGAAGGGUUCCACUGAGACCACCAAAAUCAACACUGCCACCACCACUGGGGGCACAGAGUGUUCAAGCCACCCCUGCCCUCCCCACAUCUACCUGCUGCACCCUCCCCUGAAGGACCUGUGGUUGAAGGAGGAGGCCAUCUACACCUGCUUUGUGGUGGGAGAUGACCUUCAGAAGGCCCACCUAUCCUGGAAGGUGGCUGGGGUACCCCAAACCCACAGUGUGAAGGAAGAGUCACUGAAACAGCUGGUCAAUGGCUCCCAGAGUAUGAGCAGUCACUUGACCCUGACCAGGUCCAUGUGGAACAAGGGAACUCCUGUCUACUGCACACUGACCCAUCCCAGCCUAGUGUCUCACAAGGUGUUGACAGCACUGAAGGAACAAGGUUCCAAGGCUCCCAGCAGCCUCUCCAUCAGCCUUCUCAGCAUGUCGGUCCCUGCAGAGACAGCCUCAUGGCUGCUGUGUGAGGUGUCUGGCUUCUCUCCUCCAGACAUCCUCCUGAUGUGGCUGGAAGAUAAGAGAGAGGUGAAUCCUUCCUGGUUUGCCUCCACACACCCCAUGGCCCAGGCUGGGAACAAGACAUUCCGGAGCUGGAGUAUCCUGCGCCUCCCAGCCACUGCCGGGACUUCUCCGGCCACUUACACAUGUGUGGUGAGGCACGAGGCCUCCCGGACCAUGCUCAAUGCCAGCAAGAUCCUGGACACUGUUGAUGAGUCAUACCCAGGACCAGUCACCACCAAGCCCCUUACCCCACACAGCAAGGAUGAGAACAGCGAUGACUACACAGACCUGGAGGAGGAGGGCGGCCUGUGGCCCACCCUGUGCACCUUCGUGGCGCUCUUCCUCCUCACGUUGCUUUACAGUGGCUUUGUCACCUUCAUCAAGGUCAAGUAGCCCCAGGAGAGAAGUCUUCCUGCAGAUGCACAGAAGGGAUGCUUGGCUUCAAUGAGGGGGUGUAUGAAGAGGACCCACCCCGGGCACCCUGUAGUGAAAUUCUCCA